rnacentral:rRNA from 1 species
GCAAGGCCUUGCGCUCUUUGAGCGGCCGAUGUCAGAUUAGCUAGUUGGUGAGGUAACGGCUUACCAAGGCGACGAUCUGUAGCGGGUCUGAGAGGAUGAUCCGCCACACUGGAACUGAGACACGGUCCAGACUCCUACGGGAGGCAGCAGUGGGGAAUUUUGGACAAUGGGGGCAACCCUGAUCCAGCCAUGCCGCGUGAGUGAAGAAGGCCUUCGGGUUGUAAAGCUCUUUCGGCCGGGAAGAAAUCGCAUGGGCCAAUACCCUGUGUGGAUGACGGUACCGGAAUAAGAAGCACCGGCUAACUACGUGCCAGCAGCCGCGGUAAUACGUAGGGUGCGAGCGUUAAUCGGAAUUACUGGGCGUAAAGCGUGCGCAGGCGGUUUUGUAAGACAGGCGCGAAAUCCCCGGGCUCAACCUGGGAACUGCGUUUGUGACUGCAAGGCUAGAGUACGGCAGAGGGGGGUGGAAUUCCACGUGUAGCAGUGAAAUGCGUAGAGAUGUGGAGGAACACCAAUGGCGAAGGCAGCCCCCUGGGUCGAUACUGACGCUCAUGCACGAAAGCGUGGGUAGCAAACAGGAUUAGAUACCCUGGUAGUCCACGCCCUAAACUAUGUCAACUAGGUGUUGGGUGGGUAAAACCAUUUAGUACCGUAGCUAACGCGUGAAGUUGACCGCCUGGGGAGUACGGCCGCAAGGUUAAAACUCAAAGGAAUUGACGGGGACCCGCACAAGCGGUGGAUGAUGUGGAUUAAUUCGAUGCAACGCGAAAAACCUUACCUACCCUUGACAUGCCAGGAACUUGCCCGAGAUGGCUUGGUGCCCGAAAGGGAGCCUGGACACAGGUGCUGCAUGGCUCGUCAGCUCGUGUCGUGAGAUGUUGGGUUAAGUCCCGCAACGAGCGCAACCCUUGUCGUUAAUUGCCAUCAUUUAGUUGGGCACUUUAGCGAGACUGCCGGUGACAAACCGGAGGAAGGUGGGGAUGACGUCAAGUCCUCAUGGCCCUUAUGGGUAGGGCUUCACACGUCAUACAAUGGUCGGUACAGAGGGUCGCCAAGCCGCGAGGUGGAGCCAAUCCCAGAAAGCCGAUCGUAGUCCGGAUUGCAGGCUGCAACUCGCCUGCAUGAAGUCGGAAUCGCUAGUAAUCGUGGAUCAGCAUGUCACGGUGAAUACGUUCCCGGGUCUUGUACACACCGCCCGUCACACCAUGGGAGCGGGUACCGCCAGAAGUAGGUAGCCUAACCGCAAGGAGGGCGCUUACCACGGCGGGGUUCGUGACUGGGGUGAAGUCGGAACAAGGUA